UGGGGAAUAUUGGACAAUGGGCGCAAGCCUGAUCCAGCCAUGCCGCGUGAGUGAUGAAGGCCCUAGGGUUGUAAAGCUCUUUCACCGGUGACGAUAAUGACGGUAGCCGGAGAAGAAGCCCCCGGCUAACUUCGUGCCAGCAGCCGCGGUAAUACGAAGGGGGCUAGCGUUGUUCGGAAUUACUGGGCGUAAAGCGCACGUAGGCGGAUAUUUAAGUCAGGGGUGAAAUCCCGGGGCUCAACCCCGGAACGGCCUUUGAUACUGGAUGUCUUGAGUCCGGAAGAGGUGAGUGGAAUUGCGAGUGUAGAGGUGAAAUUCGUAGAUAUUCGCAGGAACACCAGUGGCGAAGGCGGCUCACUGGUCCGGAACUGACGCUGAGGUGCGAAAGCGUGGGGAGCAAACAGGAUUAGAUACCCCUGGUAGUCCACGCCCGUAAACGAUGGAAGCUAGCCGUUGGGGCGAUUUAUCGCUCGGUGGCGCAGUUAACGCAUUAAGCUUCCCGCCUGGGG
rnacentral:rRNA from 1 species